AACUCAUGCCUGUGUUAUUUUCCUUUGAAGGACCAGAAGGCCCCCUCAGUACCAUCUGAGGACACCGCAGUAGUGCCUAUUAAAUAACAUCCAGACAAGGCAUGGCCCUUCAACUAUCUUAUGAAAUGAGAAACCACCACACCGGCCACGAAGCCGUUCACAUACACAUGUGCAGGGUGGAUGAGGAAAGGACAGAUGAGAAACUGGGACCAUACCAGGUGAUAACUGAGAACCAAACUCCCCAAAGCUCCCAGCACUGGACGACUCCAGAAAGGGUCUCAGCACCACAGGCUCUAAGAUGGAGUGACUGCUAGAGACAGAAAUCAUGGCAACAAGUAGAACAUUUUCUGUCCACAUCCAGAGGGAGAAGCCACAGGAGGAAAUACCUUGAAGCUUGUGGGACGUGCCUGGUGAGGAUAUUCCGUUCAAUGACACAUCUGUCAUCUUUACAUGUUGACCAGCCAACAAGAACUUGCUGAGUACAGGACGGACAAGGUUGGCAUUCCGCUGGCUCUACAGGGGAUCAACGGGAAGGAUGGAGA
ensembl:lncRNA novel transcript, antisense to TLN2